CGUCAGGAUAUGCCUAGGUGGGAUUAGCUAGUUGGUGAGGUAAGGGCUCACCAAGGCGACGAUCCCUAGCUGGUCUGAGAGGAUGAUCAGCCACACUGGAACUGAGACACGGUCCAGACUCCUACGGGAGGCAGCAGUGGGGAAUAUUGCACAAUGGGCGCAAGCCUGAUGCAGCCAUGCCGCGUGUGUGAAGAAGGCCUUCGGGUUGUAAAGCACUUUCAGUCGUGAGGAAGGUAGUGUAGUUAAUAGCUGCAUUAUUUGACGUUAGCGACAGAAGAAGCACCGGCUAACUCCGUGCCAGCAGCCGCGGUAAUACGGAGGGUGCGAGCGUUAAUCGGAAUUACUGGGCGUAAAGCGCAUGCAGGUGGUUUGUUAAGUCAGAUGUGAAAGCCCGGGGCUCAACCUCGGAAUUGCAUUUGAAACUGGCAGACUAGAGUACUGUAGAGGGGGGUAGAAUUUCAGGUGUAGCGGUGAAAUGCGUAGAGAUCUGAAGGAAUACCGGUGGCGAAGGCGGCCCCCUGGACAGAUACUGACACUCAGAUGCGAAAGCGUGGGGAGCAAACAGGAUUAGAUACCCUGGUAGUCCACGCCGUAAACGAUGUCUACUUGGAGGUUGUGGCCUUGAGCCGUGGCUUUCGGAGCUAACGCGUUAAGUAGACCGCCUGGGGAGUACGGUCGCAAGAUUAAAACUCAAAUGAAUUGACGGGGGCCCGCACAAGCGGUGGAGCAUGUGGUUUAAUUCGAUGCAACGCGAAGAACCUUACCUACUCUUGACAUCCAGAGAACUUUCCAGAGAUGG
rnacentral:rRNA from 1 species